UACGUAGGGUGCGAGCGUUGUCCGGAAUUAUUGGGCGUAAAGAGCUUGUAGGCGGUUUGUCGCGUCUGCUGUGAAAAUCCGGGGCUCAACCCCGGACUUGCAGUGGGUACGGGCAGACUAGAGGUAUGCAGGGGAGAACGGAAUUCCUGGUGUAGCGGUGGAAUGCGCAGAUAUCAGGAGGAACACCAAUAGCGAAGGCAGCUCGCUGGGACGUUACUGACACUGAGGCGCGAAAGCGUGGGGAGCGAACAGG
rnacentral:rRNA from 1 species